rnacentral:rRNA from 1 species
UACAGAGGGUGCGAGCGUUGUCCGGAAUCACUGGGCGUAAAGGGCGCGUAGGCGGCCGACUAAGUGUGUGGUGAAAGCCCGGGGCUCAACCCCGGGUCUGCCGUGCAAACUGGUUGGCUUGAGCACUGUAGAGGCAGGUGGAAUUCCGGGUGUAGCGGUGGAAUGCGUAGAGAUCCGGAAGAACACCGGUGGCGAAGGCGGCCUGCUGGGCAGUAGCUGACGCUGAGGCGCGACAGCGUGGGGAGCAAACAGGAUUAGAUACCCUGGUAGUCCACGCCGUAAACGAUGGGCACUAGGUGCUUGGGGGAGCGACCCCCUGAGUGCCGUCGCUAACGCAUUAAGUGCCCCGCCUGGGGAGUACGGCCGCAAGGCUGAA